AUUGAACGCUGGCGGCAUGCCUUACACAUGCAAGUCGAACGGUAACAGGUCUUCUGCUGCUGACGAGUGGCGCACGGGUGCGUAAUACAUCGGAACGUGCCCAGACGUGGGGAUAACGAGGCGAAAGCUUUGCUAAUACCGCAUACGAUCUAAGGAUGAAAGCAGGGGACCGCAAGGCCUUGUGCGUUUGUAGCGUCCGAUGGCAGAUUAGGUAGUUGGUGGGAUAAAAGCUUACCAAGCCGACGAUCUGUAGCUGGUCUGAGAGGACGACCAGCCACACUGGGACUGAGACACGGCCCAGACUCCUACGGGAGGCAGCAGUGGGGAAUGUUGGACAAUGGGCGAAAGCCUGAUCCAGCAAUGCCGCGUGCAGGAUGAAGGCCUUCGGGUUGUAAACUGCUUUUGUACGGAAAGAAAAGGCUCUGGCUAAUACCUGGGGCACAUGACGGUACCGUAAGAAUAAGCACCGGCUAACUACGUG
rnacentral:rRNA from 1 species